GAAGGGGCUUGGGAACCUCUCCCUCCUAUCCCCUACUUGUCCAAGAGUCCGCGAGGUUUCAAUGUGAGAUCCCGUGAAGGCGAAAAAUCUCGCGAGAAAUGUGACUGUGGAUCGAUCUGUGGAGGGGCGGUUAAGCGCAAGGGGGUGUGCAUCUGCGCCCGGAAUGUCGUGAGCGAUCUCGGUCUUGCUAAUGGAUGGCCGGUUUUUGCUUUUUGCGUCAUCCUCUACCAGAGAAAUGAUCGCUGUCCUCUAUCUAGACACGCUUUAAACAGCAGUGGUAAAAAUCAAUUUGCAAACACUGGAUAAGACUUUUGUAAAGGAACAUUGUCCAGCAUGGAUUCUGUACCAGAAGAAUUUUUUGUGAGGGAACCUGCUGUGGAGGAACAGAGAAAGGAGGAACUUGAGAAUAAAGUAGAUAAGUCAACUGGUCAAUUGGACAAACAGGAAAAAGACAUACCUUCUGAACUUGUCCAUGUUAACCUACUAGUAGAAGUGAAGAAGCUAUUAAAUGCAAUUAAUAGUCUACCAAAAGGUGUAGUUCCUCAUGUUAAGAAAUUCUUGCAAGACGAUUUUUCCUUCCAAACGAUGCAGCGAGAAGUUGCAGCUAACAGCCAGAAUGGGGAGGAAAUUGUUCCUUCUUUAACUUUACGGUUCUUAAUAACACAACUAGAAACAGCACUUAGGAACAUUCAAGCUACUAAUUACACAGCACGACAGAUUAAUAUUGGCUAUUAUUUGACUUUACUCUUUUUAUAUGGAGUGUCACUCAUUGAAAGAGGAAAGAAAGAGGAUUAUACAGAAGCUGAAAACAAAUUUCUGGUGAUGAAGAUGGUGAUCCAAGAAAAUGAAAUUUGUGAAAACUUUAUGUCUUUAGUUUAUUUUGGACGUGGUUUACUUCGAUGUGCUCAGAAGCGAUAUAAUGGAGGACUGCUAGAAUUUCAUAAAAGCUUACAAGAAAUAGGAGAUACAAAUGACCAUUGGUUUGACAUAGAUCCUACAGAAGAUGAAGAAUUACCUACGUCUUUUAAAGAUCUCCUUGAUAAUUUUAUCAAGACAACUGAAGGUAAUAUAAUGAAGCAUACCAUUUGUAGUUAUCUAGACUGUGAGCGAUCCUGUGAAGCUGACAUUUUAAAGAACACCAAUUAUAAGGGUUUUUUUCAGUUAAUGUGCAGUAAAAGUUGUUGUGUUUAUUUUCAUAAGAUUUGUUGGAAAAAGUUCAAGAAUUUAAAAUAUCCCGGAGAAAAUGAUCAGAGUUUUAGUGGGAAAAAAUGUUUGAAGGAAGGAUGUACAGGUGACAUGGUAAGGAUGCUGCUGUGUGAUGUGCCUGGAAUUGUUAAAAUUUUGUUUGAAGUUGUAAGAAAGGAUGAAUAUAUAACCAUCGAAAAUUUGGGAGCAAGCUAUAAAAAGUUGAUGUCUCUCAAAAUAGCUGAUACUGAUAUAAGACCGAAGAUAAGCUUAAAAUUUAAUACAAAAGAUGAAAUGCCAAUCUUCAAACUUGAUUAUAGUUAUUUCUACCAUCUGCUUCAUAUAAUUAUUAUUUCUGGUACUGACAUUGUCCGGCAAAUAUUUGAUGAGGCUAUGCCACCCCCUCUAUUGAGAAAAGAGCUGCUUAUACACAAGAAUGUACUGGAAUCCUACUACAACCAUCUUUGGACCAAUCACCCUUUGGGUGGAUCAUGGCAUCUACUUUAUCCCCCAAACAAGGAGCUACCACAGUCCAAACAAUUUGACUUAUGCCUCCUAUUAGCUCUCAUAAAACAUUUGAAUGUAUUCCCUGCACCCAAAAAAGGCUGGAAUAUGGAACCAUCAUCUUCUGAUCUCUCUAAGUCUGCAGACAUCCUGCGGCUGUGCAAAUACAGGGAUAUCCUCCUUAGUGAGAUUUUGAUGAAUGGUCUCACUGAGUCGCAGUUCAAUUCAAUUUGGAAAAAAGUUUCAGAUAUUCUUCUACGCCUUGGCAUGAAGCAAGAGGAUAUUGACAAAGUGAAAGAGAAUCCCAUUGAGAAUAUCUCACUUGAUUACCAUCAGCUAUCCAUCUACCUGGGCAUACCAGUACCAGAAAUCAUCCAGAGGAUGUUAUCCUGCUAUCAACAAGGAAUUGCUCUACAAUCAAUAACAGGCAGUCAACGUAUUGAAAUAGAAGAGUUACAGAAUGAGGAAGAAGAACUAAGUCCACCUCUUAUGGAAUACAAUAUAAAUGUGAAAUCACAGCCUGAAAUACAGUUAGCAGAAAUAAAUAAAGAUGGGGCCUCAAUACUUAGUGAAUCAUCAACAGAAUCCAUUAAAGAUCUUCAGGAAGUUAAGAGUAAACCAAAGAAAAAGAAAAAGACUAAGAAUAAAAAGAAUAAGGAAUCAAAAGAAGAGCAAGUUUCAUAUAUGAUGGAAAAGGAAGAGCAGUUGAAGGAAGAACAAGAAAAUCCACACCCAGUCAGUAGAUUCAUAAAAGAUGAUGGAAGUGAUGUUCAAGAAGAUUCUGCAACUGAAGAAAAGUUCUAUAGCCUGGAUGAAUUGCAUAUUCUGGACAUGAUAGAGCAGGGCUCAACUGGCAAGGUGUCUGCAGAUUAUGGAGAAACUGAAAAAGAAAGGCUUGCUCGUCAACAUCAGCUUUACAAAUUGCAUUAUCAAUGUGAGGAUUACAAAAGACAGUUGAAAACAGUAACUUUUCGGUGGCAAGAAAACCAAAUACAGAUCAAAAAGAAAGACAAAAUCAUUGCAUCUCUUAACCAACAAGUGGCCUUUGGAAUCAAUAAGGUUUCCAAAUUACAGCGUCAAAUCCACGCUAAAGAUAAUGAAAUCAAGAACCUUAAAGAGCAACUUUCCUUAAAAAGAUCUCAGUGGGAAAUUGAGAAACAUAAUCUGGAAAGCACAAUGAAAACAUACUUAAACAAACUGAAUGCAGAAACUAGCAGAGCUUUAACAGCUGAGGUGUAUUUCUUACAGUGUCGAAGAGAUUUUGGUUUGCUUCAUUUAGAGCAAACUGAAAAGGAGUGUCUCAGUCAGCUUGCCAGGGUAACUCACAUGGCAGCGAGCAACCUAGAAUCACUUCAAUUAAAGGCUGCAGUAGAUAGUUGGAAUGCCAUUGUAGCGGAUGUUAGAAACAAGAUUGCGUUCCUUAGGACACAGUAUAAUGAACAAAUCAACAAGGUAAAGCAAGGGUUUGCGCUGAGUACUUUGCCUCCAGUCCAGCUUCCUCCACCACCACCCAGUCCUGAGAUUCUGAUGCAGCAAUUCUUAGGAAGACCCCUUGUGAAAGACUCUUUCUUUAGACCCAUAUUUACUGUUCCUCAAAUGCCUGCUGUUUGCCCUGGAGUUAUCUCAGCAGCAGCCCCACCUAGAGCUCCUCUGAUGACUGGCAUAGCCUGGACUAUGCCAGCACCUGUGGGAGAAAAUGUGCUUCCUGGUGCAAGUCUGGGAAGUGAUCCUUCUUCCGUGAUGAAUUGGGAGAGGCUUACAGACAGACUGAAAACUGCCUUUCCACAACAGACCAGAAAAGACCUUGCAGAUUUCUUAAGAAGAUUGAAGGAUGCUCAUGGGAAGUCCUUAUCUGGAUUAACAUUUGAUGAAAUUGUUUACAAGAUUUCCCAAUUUAUUGACCCAAAAAGAUCUCAGAGUCAAGGAAAAUCAGUACCAAAUGGUAAUUGUGUUUCACCUAGCCAUUCUCCAUCACAAUCUAACACUGCCCAGCCUCCAAAAGCAGCCUGGAGGCCUCUUAGUUCACAAGAUUCUGCCACAUGGGAAGGAGCCAAUAACUUGGAGGCAGAGGAGGAGGAAGAAGAACCUUGUGUGAUCUGUCAUGAGAAUCUGUCUCCAGAAAACCUUUCAGUUUUGCCUUGUGCUCACAAAUUUCACUCUCAGUGCAUUAGACCAUGGCUGAUGCAACAGGGAACAUGCCCAACCUGCAGACUCCAUGUUUUGCUACCAGAAGAAUUCCCUGGUCAUCCCAGCCGUCAGUUGCCCAAGAUCUGAUAUAAGGCGGGUGACUAUCAAAGGAAACUCAGUUUUAUGAUUCCAGAAUUUAGUUCCACCUUUUAUCGUGAACUUGUCUUCAGUAUAUCCUGAAACUACUUUAAAUCUCUAAUAUAAAUGUGUAUUUUUGUUUCAUUAUACACUUAUUUUGAAAGAUGAUAGGAAAUUAUUCAAAAGGAAGUCAAUCACCGAGACUAAGAGUGCUAAGAAUCAUAUCUUAGAAUCACAGAAAGUGAACGCUUCUAGAAACCAUGUAAUCUACCCUCUCACUUUACAGAGUUACAGAGAGAGAAAGAGGAGAGAAAGAGAUCUUUCAUCUGCUGGUUUACUCCCCAAAUGGCCACAGAGCCGGGGCUGUGCCAGGCUGAAUCCAGGAGCCAGGAGCUUCUUCAGGUUUCCCGCAUAGAUACAGGGGCCAAAGGACUUGGCGGCUUUCCCAGGAAUAUUAGCAGAGACUGGAUCAGAAGCAGAACAAGUGGAACUUGAACCAGUGCCAACAUGGGCUACCAGCACUACACAAGAUUUCUUAAUCCUGCUAUGCCACAGGGCUGGCCUCCAAAAUUCUGCAUUUUAAUAUUUGUAUCUUUUUGUUUAUUUAAAUGACUUUAUAAUUUUUACAUUCACUAAAUAGGAAUUCUGUGCCAUUUUUUAAGAGUUAAUUUGAAAAGAGAGAGAGAGAUCACCUCCACCUGCUGGUUCACACCCGAAAUGCCUGCAAUGGAAAGCAUUGGACCAGGCCAAAACCAGGAACCUAGAACUCCUUCCAAGUAUUCUACAUGGAUGGCAGAGGCACAAGCACUUGUACCAUUCUCUACUUCCCUCCUAGGCAUAUAAGCAGUAAGAUGGAUUGGAAGCAAAGUAGCCAGGAUUCAAACGGCCAUUCUGAUAGAGGAUGCUGACAUUAUAAGCAACAGCUUAACCUGCUGCACUGCAAGUCAGCCCCUUCUUUGCCCAUUUCUUAGUUGGAUUGUUUGUUUUAUUGUUGUGUUUUUGAGCUCCUUAUAUAUCUUGAUAUUAAUCCUUUAUAAGGCAUGUGGUUUGCAAAUAUUUUCUGUAUUUUGUGGGUUGUCUCUUCACUUGGCUAAUUGUUUCCUUUGCUGUGCAGAAACUUCUUAACUUGAUAUAAUCCAAUUUAUCUAUUUUUGUUUUUAUUGGCAGUGCCUUUUGGGGUCUUAAACAAAAAGUCUUUGCCUCAGCUAAUGCCUUAACCAUAUCUCUACUAUGUUUUCUCAAGUAGUUUAACAGUUUAAAGUCUUAAGUUUAAAUCAUUUACCCAUUUUGAGUUAAUUUUUGUACAGGGUGUACAAUAUGGGUCUUGUUUCAAACUCCUGCAUGUGGACAUCCAGUUUUCCUGACUCUGUUGGAAAGACUGUCCUUUCUCCAGGAAAUGACUUUAGCUCAUCUGUCAAAGAUUAACUGCUUGUAGAUGCAUGGAUUUAGUUCUGGGGUUUCAUUCUAUUCCAGUAGUCUAAAUGUCUAUUUUUAUGUGCAGUGACAAUAGAUUUAUAAAGAAGUAGACUAAUACUAUUUUAUGUACUCUCCUCUCUCCAAGGAUCUGCCAAUUCCUAAGCUGUAAUAUGCGCCUGUCAUAACAAAACCCAAGUGGAUAAAAGUUGCUAAGGGACUAUAAAGCUAAACAGAUUUAGGCAUUACCAUGACUCUGUUAAGAAAAUUGGAGUUAGGCAUCACCAUGAUUCUGUAAAGAAAACUGAAGUUCAGGACUCAUAAAUAACCAGGUAUUCCAUUGAGAUCUUGGAAAUGUUAGAGGUGUGGAAAAACCAGAAAUAGGCCAGGCUUGAUUGGGUCAAGAUUAUUUAUUGAAUGGAAAAUUCUUACUUCAUCUUAAAAUGGGGCUUCUGACCCAUUUUCUGUCUUCUUUCCUGAGUGGAAAAAUUAUUUCUAAUUCUGCCUACCUGCUAGAGAAAAGUGAGCACAUGAUAAUAAAGCCGUGCUAUUAAAACUGACGUGAAAGAAUGAUUUCAUAAUCAAAUGGUAUAUACUUCUUAUCCACAUGUGAGAUGAUUUCAUCAGCCUGGUCCUCCACUUGGUCAAUAACAUAAUAAAUGGGACAUUUCCUCACCUGCCUUCUAUGUGUUCUCAUUCAUAACCAAAUCAAGAGGUGCAGUCUUACCACCCCAAUAGCUGAAUCCACUGCAUAACUUAAAAACCUCUUAGUUUUGAAUCCUAACUUUAUUAUAUCCUGAUAUUCCAAUUCUUAUGAUAUAUUUUUCUUCUAAGCAUAUUCUAAUUGACUCAUUGUUUCCAUAGUGUUCAUCAUUUGCUCACUUAACCCAAAAAGGUAAAAUUAAUUGUUGAGUCAUGAGUUAAGAAUGGAUAUGAUGCCACCUAUGAUUACUGCAUCAUUCACAUAUAAAUAACAAUAUAUAUUUGGACAUAACGUGCCAUAAUUGGGAUGAACUAAUUCUCAAUUCUUUUUCACUCUUUGACAAAAUGGGCCAAUCAAAAGCAAACAGGACAAACACUGUGGCAUAGCCAGUAAAGCUGCCGUCUGCAUCACUGGCAUCCCAUAUGGGUACUGGUUCAAGUCCCUGCUGCUCCAUUCCAAUCCAUCUUUGCCUGGGAAAGCAGUGGAAGAUAGCCCAAGUCCUUGGGCCCCUGCACCUACAACAGAGACCUGAAUGACACACCUGGCUCCUGGCUUUUGGCUUGGCCCUGCCCUGACUGUUGCAGGCCAUUUGGGGAGUGAACCGGCUACACUAAUUUACAUUCCCACCAAGAAUGUAUAAUUGUUCCCCUUCCUGCACAUCCUUGGCAGGAUUUUGUGCUCUCUGACUUUUGGAUUUUACCCAUUCUGAUAGGGGUGAAGUGAUACCUCAUUGUGGUUUUGAUUUGCAUUUCCCUGAUGGCUAGUGAUAUUGAGCACUUUUUCAUAUAUUUGUUGGUCAUUUGUAUUUAUUCUUUUGGGAACUGUCUGUUGAGGUCCUUUGCCUAUUUCUUGACUAAAUGGAUUUUGUUGUUGUUACUGAGUUUAAAUUGCUGAUAUAAUCAAGAUAUUAAUACUUUGUCAGGUGUUUUGCAAAUUCUGUUGGAUGUCUCUUGACUCUAUUUAUCAUUUCCUUUGCUGUGCUAAAUCUUCUGAAUUUGAUAUAGUGAGACCUGGGGAAGCUUCUGUCUCCAUUCCACUGUGGCAAGCCCAUGGCUGAUAGUGCAUAAUCCCCAGUAUAACCAAAACUUUUCCUGUGGGAUCCAAAGUACCCUUUCUGUCCUGCAGUUUUGGGACUGCGACUAUUAGAACUCUAAGAGUCACCCGAAUGCAUGCUAUGUAAACUGGGGAAAAUUCUACCAGCAUUUUACUCCUUCAAGGACACACCUGCCAGUGAGCAAUCCCCAGCAUAACCUACGUUGUUUCCAUGGGACCUACUUCACAUCCUCAGUGCUGUACCUGGGGCUUUUUAUGCUAUAAACCCCAGAAUCCUCACACCCAGCCACAAGGACAUGGAGAAGAUCCUCUCUACAUCACACAGUUCUACACCCAAAGCUCUUGGUGGCACAACCCUCAGCAUCACUCAGGCUUUCCUAGUGGACUUGAUGACUUACGGUCUAUGUCCCACAGCACCAGGCGAAUGGCUUUUGCCAUAACCCAAGUUUGAUUGGCACCCAGCUCUGGGGUCUGAAGACAACACCUUGAGAAGCCUACAUCCACUUCAAAGUCUUACUACUACAUCCAUGGACUGCUGCAGCCAAACAAUUGCGGCAUUCGUAGACAAUGUUUACAUUGAUUACAGCUGAAGAAAUCACUCAGACAUUGUACCUCUGGACUCAGCUAGAGACAAAGCCAAAGCAACUAUCAACUGACCACAUUCCAUCAUUUAAAAAAAAAAAAAAACACCGAUGAAAGCUACUCCAUAAAGAAGGAACUUUCAGACCAGGUUUGGAGUUACAAACAGAGAAAAACAUAUGAAGAAGCAAUGCAGUUUGACAGCUCCAAAAGAACACAGCAUUCUUCAGAAGUAGAUCCUGAUUUGAAGUAUAUCUAUGAAAUAUCUGGAAAAGACCUGAAAAUAAUGAUCCCAAGAAAACUCAGUGAGAUACAAUAGAACACAGAUAGGAAAACAAUAUAUAAGAUUUUUGACAGAGAAAAUGUUUAAAAGAAUCAUAAAUUUUGAAGCUGAAAACUUCAAUCAGUGAAAUAAAAAAUACAAAUGAGAACUUCUAUAAUAAAACAAAUCAAACAGAAGAAAGAAUUUCUGAUCUUGAGGACAAGAAUUUUGAAAUAACAUGGACAAAUAAACAGAAAAGAAAAAGAAUUAUGAAAGCCUAUGAGACAUAGGAUAUAACAGUAUAUGAGUAAAUAUUCAUACUAUAGUAAUACCUGAAGAAGAGACAGGAAAAGGUACCAAGAGCUUAUUUAUUGAAAGAGUAGUUCAAGAUUCGCAAAGUAUUAAAGAGUUAUGGACAUCCUGUUACAGGAAACUCAAAAGGGCCCAAACCAGAUUCAACCAAGAAAGACCUUCACCAAGGCAUAUUAUUGUUAAAUUGUCAAAAGUUAAGGCUAAGGGGAGAAUCCUAAAAAAAGUGAAAGAAAAAAAUAUUCAUUACAUUAAAGAAAACUCAACAGACUAAUAGCAGAUUUCUCAACAGAAGCCCCUCAGACCAGAAGAGUAAGGCUAAUAUAUCCAAGGUCUUGAAGACAAAAAAAAUUUCAACCAAAACUGCUAUAUCCAACAAGCUAUCCUUUAGAAAUGAAAGUGAAAUAAAGUAUUUCUGAGAUAAGUAAAAACAGAGAAUUCAUUACCUCCAGACCAACUCUAUAGGAAAUCCUGAAGGGAGGUCCUGCAUUAGAAGGAAAAUGACCAUAAAAAUCAUAAUGGAAAUAUACUACAGUACAAAAUUCACUAACAGAGCAGAUACACAAAGAGAAAGUGAAGAGGAUCCAAAGUUAGGACAGAAACUACCCAAACUCAAAGAUAAAUAAUGAGAGGCAGAAACAAAGAGACUUAACAAAACAAACAGUAAGCACCAACAAAAUGACAGGAAUUAGUGCUUAUCUAUCAAUACUAACCUUAAAUGUAAAUGGAUCAAAUUACCCAGUCAAAACAUACAGGCUGGCUAAGUGGGUUUAAAAAAAAAAAAAAAACAAGCUCCAACUAUGUGCUACCAACAAGAAACUCACUUCACAGGUAACAAAACACAUAGACUGAGGUGGAGUUUUGAAAAAUUUUAAGCUAUGCAAAUGGAAACCAAAACCAGGGAAGAGCAGCUAUGCCCAUAUCAUACACAAGACCAUUAUGUUUCGUGAAGUAAGCCAGACCCAAAAAAGAUAGAUAUAUGUUUUCUGUAGUUUGUGGUACCUAAUAUAUAGAAUACAAAAUUAGUGAAAUUGAAACAUUGAAGUUUGAUUACUGUUUAUAGCCCUUUUAUUUAUUUAUUUAUUUACAGGCAGAGUGGACAGUGAGAGAGACAUAGAGAAAGGUCUUCCUUUGCCGUUGGUUCACCCUCCAAUGACCGCUGCAGCCGGCGCGCUGCAGCCAGCGCACUGCGCUGAUCCGAAGGCAGGAGCCAGGUGCUUCUCCUGGUCUCCCAUGGGGUGCAGGGCCCAAGCACUCCACUGCACUCCGGGCCAUAGCAGAGAGCUGGCCUGGAAGAGGGGCAACCGGGACACAAUCCGGCGCCCCAACUGGGACUAGAACCCAGUGUGCCGGCGCCACUAGGCGGAGGAUUAGCCUAUUGAGCUGCGACGCCGGCCUAUAGCCCUUUUCUAUAUGCCUUUGGAAUAGUAGUGGUCUUUCUUCUUCGUACUUUUUGAAUUCUUUUAGUGGAGAAUUAAACCUGUGAUUGUUAAUUAAAUUGAAACUAUGCUAUCACAAAAAAUUAAAAGAAAAAGGGAAGGAGGAGGGACAGAGGGAGAGUGGGAAGUAUCAUUAUAUGAUUAAAAUUGUAUAAAUGAGGCCAGCGCUAUGGCUUAAUAGGCUAAUCCUCUGCUUGUGGUGCCAGCACCCUGGGUUCUAGUCCCAGUCGGGGCACCAGAUUCUGUCCCAGUUGCUCCUCUUCCAGGCCAGCUCUCUGCUGUGGCCUGGGAGUGCAGUGGAGGAUGGCCCAGAUCCUUGGGCCCUGCACCCGCAUGGGAGACCAGGAGAAGCACCUGGCUCCUGGCUUCGGGUCAGCAUGGUGCACCAGCCACAGUGCACCAGCUGCAGCGGGCCACUUGGGGGUGAACCAACAGAAAAAGAAGACCUUUCUCUCUUGUGUCUCUCUCUCACUGUCCACUCUGCCUGUCAAAAAAAAUUAUAUAAAUGAAUAUAUUUUCAUUAUAUAAAUUUUCAAAAGAAAAAAUAUAAAGGACAUUACAUUUGAUGAGGAUUGAUUCAGAGAGAUUACAUUUAUAUGCACUCAACACAAGACUGCCCAGAUACAUAAAGCAAAUUCUAUUAGACAUAAAGGGAAAGAUUCCAAUACAAUAUUAGUAGGAAAUUUCAACACCUCCCUGACAUUAGUGUACAGAUGAUACAAGCAGAAAAAUUUUUCUUAUUUUUUAAAGAUUAUUAUUUUGAAAGGCAGAGAUAGAGACAGAGAAAGAUCUCCUAUUCUCUAGUUGACUCCCCAAAUGGACCCAAUGGCCAGAGCUGGGCCAGGCCGAAGCCAGGAGACAGGAGCUUCUUCCAUGUCUCCCACAUGGGUGCAAGUACACAAUAACUUCUCAUCCAUCCAUGGAAUGUUUUCCAGGAUAGGCCAUAAAUUAGUGCACAAAACAAGUCUCAGUAAAUUUAAAAAACUUGUAUCAUACCAUGUAUUUUCUCAAACUACACAGCACUAAUACUAGAAAUCUACAAGAAGAAAAACCAGAAAAUUUAUAAAAUACAUGGAAAUGGAGCAACAUGCUUCUGAAUGACCAAUGGAUUAUUGAAGAAAUUAAAAAGGAAAUCAAUACAUUGCUUGAAAACAGAAUAUAUCAAAGUCUAGAAUAUAGCAAGAGCAGUGUUAAGAAUGAUGUUUAUAACAGUGAGUAAACAGAUUUUAAAAAUAGAAACAUUUCAAAUAAAUAAUCUAACAAUGCAUUUCAAGAACUUAAGAAAACAAGAAGAAACCAAACCCAAACAUAGCAGGAAGUAAGAAAUAAUAAGCAUCAGAACAGAGAAGUUAAAUUGGAACUUAAAAACAAAAUAACAAAAUUAAAAGCUGGACUUUUGAAAGGAUAAGCAAAAUAGACAAUAAAGAAAAUACAUCCAACACAAUUGGGGAACAUAUUUGCAAGAUAUUUGCCCAACAAAGGGUAGAUACCCAGAACACAUCAAGUACUAAAAGACUCAAUUACAAAAAUAAUCUAAUUAAGAAAUGGGCACAGGACAUGAACAGGCAGUUCUCAAAAGAUGAACUACAAAUGUCCAAUGAAUAUAUGAAAAAAACUCUCAUUAUCACUAAUCAAUAAGGAAAUGCAGAUCUAAAUCAUGGAGAUAUCUCAUACCUGUUAAGAGUGGCUGUUAUCAGAAAGCAGGUAACACAUGCUGGUAAGAAGGUGGAGAAAGAGGAAUCACUUAUACACUGUUAGUUGAAAUGUGAAUUAGUACAGCCACUGCAGAAAACAGAAUGGAAAUUUCUUUUGAAAUACUGGAAAUGGAAUCAUUAUAUGACACAGCAAUCUCACUACUGGGUAUACAUUCAAAAGACAUAGCAUUGUAUUAGAGAUUCCCGCUUCAUCAUGUUUAUGGCAGUGCUGUUCAUAAUAGCCAAUAUAUUAACCCAGGAGUCCAUCAUCAGCUGAACAGAUAAAGAAA